rnacentral:lncRNA from 1 species
GUCCCCGCGCACGCUCCCCGCCGGCCCCCACGCAUACGCCCCCGGCGCUGCUGCGGCGGCUGGCUUGGGAGGGGGUCGAGGGAGCGGGAGCUUGGGGUGGGCUUCGGGAGCGCAGGGAACGGCGGGAGCCGGGAGGUGACGGCUAGCAGCGUGAGAAGGCCGCUGGCUCCUGAGAAAUCCCCCUCCUCCAGAAACUCUCAAACAACUGAGAAGGUGCCUCGACAUCUGAUUUGCCCCAAACCUCUAUACACUGGACAUCUUCUGAAUAAGGCUGUGUUGUAUGUUGGGACAAGCAAAGGGAUGGAAAUCAAGAAUUCUGGGUUUUAGUCCUGACUGUCACUACAUGGCUGUGUUACUUCUGACUCUGUGAAGCAGAACUCGGGCCUCUAGCGUCUGCUAGUCUAGAUCUAAAGGUGUUUCCUGAGGGACAGUUUGGCCUGGCAUGCAGGUACCUCUGCAGACCACAACAGUGCACCGAAAACACCCCCUCCCAGCACGCACACAAGUCUGGCUCCUCAGCCAAACAUCAAACACCAACACUGCUGCCCAUGCCAGAUGCCAAGUGAGAUAAUGUGUGUUAUACCCUUAGUGUGUUACAAAGAGAAAAGAUUAAUAAAUGUUAGCUAUCCUUAUCUUCAUUAUCUAAAUAAGGCAUGUGGAUCUCUUUUCAUUUAAACUCACAAAAUACCUGCUUAGAAGGCC